CAUUGUACUUUGUUAUUAUUUAUUUGGCUCUAAUUUGAAAUUUCUCAAAUAAGUAAAAUUUUGUAGUUAUGUGAUUCUCCAGAGUUUUUUUAUAUCAGCAUUUCAGAGGCAAAUUUUGCCAGUUCAUGAUGCAGUCCAUUUUGUAAUAUUGGAUUUGGUAUUGAAUGAAGAGUGUUUGGAUUAAAAAGAGGGUAUGGAAAAUUUUACACAGUUUUGAAAACUGGGAAUUUUUGGGAACUAUAGCAGUAACCAGAACUGACUGAUGCUGUAUUCUCUAGCUAUCACAUUGCUUAGCUAUUUUUUUCCCCUGCUUGUUACAGGAGGCAGGGUAGAUGAAUUUUCCAGGCUGAACAGCUUCAAAACAGUGUCCAGAAUGGUAACAGUGUAUUAGUCUAUUAAAAGCAUAGAUUUCAGUGGAAUUCAAUUUGGGCUGUCUGCUGGCAGAAGGAGUGGGUUGAUAGUUGGAGGGGGUACAAAGAGAACGUGGGAAAAUUAAUCUUUUGAUCUGUUAUGUCAUUUUCUUCUUUAAUAGAGCAUACAAAUUCAUAUUCACCACAGAAGCAUCAUUUUCCUGGUUCUCAGUAUUAGUCAGUGUUUCCCUGUGGUUGUUUAGGUACAGUAAAAAAAUGGCAGAACUGCCAAAGAUUUCCCAAGUUGUUAGACCUUGCAAGAUUCUUCAGGAAAAUAAAGCUGCUUUUUUGUUUUCCUUUUUUUAAAGAGAAACAUGGAGGGAAAACUUGCUUAAGCAAAAUUUAAAAUAUUGUCAAGAAAGGCCCAUUUUUGCUUAAUUAGCUAUUUAUUUUCUACCUUAGUACACUCUAUAUAUUUUGCAGUCCACAGCUGGAUAUUAUCAGCUGUAACAUAAAAUAACUUAUAAAACUGUAGUAUUAAAUAACUCUGUGUGUGUAGAGCUACUUAGACGCAUAGUUUCUAGCUUAGUGGCGUUUUAGACAAUGGAGUUCUACUUCUCAUAAGAGAGAAAAAAGGUGCUGUCAUCUGUUAAAGCCCUUGAAGACCAGAUUUUUUAUUAUUAAUAACUUGAGGUUUCAGUGACAUAAUUUUUAAGGGCCUUCAGUAUUGUCUUCUACGGUUUCACAUCUGUAUGGAGCACAUGCUCCACAUUAAGCUAAUAUACCUAUCUAGAUUUUCAAUCUUGUGUUGUCUUUUUCUUAUGUUCUCUUUCUGCUCACAAAUUUGCAUUAUAGCAGUAGUUUUCACAGUGUAUAGUUUCCAUUAAAACAUUUCUAAAGAUAAGGUUUGAUUCUUACUUUGGUGGUGCUUAAUUGGUGCAUGGAGAUAAGGAGCUACCCUUACAGAACAGGUAAGGUUGGAGCUGCUGAAGCAACAUGAUGCGACACAAGACUGGCAUUGUUGGCUUUGUGAUAUCUCUUGCCAGCCUGUCCAUAACCCAGAGAACCUUUGAGUGAGAGAGAGGUAAGGAUGGUGAAAAUCAGUGCUGUGGUGAUCUCUAGUCAGGCAAACUGCUGUGGACAACUAACCCAGCCAAUGCAACUUGCAUUGGUUCUUAGUUUGCUGUAAAUUAAAUUUAAGUAUUGAUUCAAUAUCUGAUUGGGCCAAGGAUCAUGAGAAUGGAAAGCUUGCUUUUGUCUUUUGUUCCCUGCUAUCAGUCCUCUGCCAAACAGUUUGCUCAGCCCCAGGUAUCUGGCUAAUAAUUCUCUUUUGCAGUGUAGGUGGAAGCUUAGUUAGGGAAACUGUAAUUAAGGCAGAGCUCAGGGAAAGGCAAGAAAUGUCGUAAGUUUUAUGCAAUAAGAAGUGUGCUAUGCAACGAAACACUUUUAAUUUUGUUUACUUAUUUUAAACAAAGCGUUUUAAAUAGUUUUAAAAUUAUAUUGAUGUUGUUUCAGAACUUAUUUCUGAUGUUAAGUAUGGAGGUAGGGAACCAUCAUCCUGUCUCUGUCUUAUUGUAGACUCCUUAAGCAGCUUUGUUCCUUUAAUUUUUUCUAACAGUUAACCUCUGCAGUUGAGCAGCGUAAUUCAAUACCAUCCUUAUUAUCUCUUGUUGUUGGGUUGCUUGAGCCUUGAAGAAGCAAAUUGUUUUCAUGAUGAUGUACCCCUUUCAUGAGCAUGGAGGGGGGGAAGAAAAAAGUGAUCUCUGAUUUACCUGUUCUUGGGAAGAAAAAAAGUAGUGAUUAUGUAGUGGAGUUUGAGUGUAAGUUGGAUCUGUCACUCAUGAACACCAACUCAGCAAAUAUUUGUGUUCUUGAAAUGUAGUGCCAGAUGUAUUGACUCUUAGGCACUAGAAGUGAAGAUUUCACAGCCCUGUGUUAAUGAAAAUGCCUUUUUAGGAGACCUUUGCUUAUUUUAGAGUUUUCAGUAUAUCGCAAUUGGGUAUGUGGGCCCAACAUAGCAUUUGGUGUCAAGCGGUCCCAGGUGUGGAUUACAGCUGUAUAAUCAGUUCCGAAAACCAGUAAGCUAAAAUGAAGAAACUGUUAAUUGGUCACAGAAUGUUAGGGCUUGGAAGUGACCUCGAAAGAUCAUCAGUCCAAUCCCCCUGCUGGAGCAGGAACACCUAGAUGAGGUUACACAGGGAUGUGUCCAGGCGGGUUUUGAAUGUCUCCAGAGUAGGAGACUCCACAACUCCCCCGGGCAGCCUGUUCCAGUGCUCUGUUACCCUUACUGAGAAUAAAUUUCUUCUCAUAUUUAAGUGGAACCUCCUGUGUUCCAGUUGGUACCCAUUUGUCAUUGUUAACCAAUGGGAGUCAGCAGAGACACAGGUGAUUAUGGAGUCUGAGAAGUUACUUGUGAUCAUUGCUGUUAAGUCAAUAUGUUAUAUAUCCUGGUAUAUUGUCCAAAAUCCAUAUCCUCCCAACAUUUGUUGCUUGCCUCAAGUAGUUAGGGAAGUCUUCACUUCUUUUCCACAGAAGCUGCUGAUAUGCUUUUGUUUUUUUUGCCUUCCCCCCCCCCGAAAGAAAAUUGAGUACUUUUAAUUAGUCAAUAAAGUGUUUUCAAAGUAUAAGUAGGGUCUGAAAUAUUUGAAGCUAAAAACACCAGAUGUAAGAGAUCCGCAUUUCUGAGAACAGUACUAAAGAUGAGUUUACAAAGCAAUUACUGAAAGUGUUUUGAAUACUUCCCUUAAAACAUCUUCCAGAUUCAAGAACACGGCAAGGGAUUUUUUUCUUCCUUUAAAGUAGUGAGGAUAAGUCAUUCUUCAAAACAAUUUUCUCAAAGACUGGAAAAUAUGUGCUGUUGAGGUCAGGUAUUUAUUCUCCUCUCUUUGAACUGCAUGCAAGUCUUCAUAGUUUUCAGAUAUUUAACUUCAUAGGUUUCAGAGUUUAUGAGUGGAGAAAAUAGAAGUGACCUUCCUGAAGUUGUAGUCAACUGUUAUAAUAAAUAAAGCUAGUUCGUGUUGGAAAGCUGUGUUUGUCAAAGUCUUGAGUUAUCGAAGACCAAAUUUUAUUUCUGUAUUUCAGAGUUGAAAAAAAAAAAAAAGAAAAACACCCUAAUGCCCAAUCAGACAACCCCUCAAAUAAUCCAGGAAUAGAUUGUUAAAAAUGCAUUGUCUAUUGGCGUUUCGAAUCUUGUUUACUUAAAAUGAGAAGACAUAACUUAGUAGUAUCUAAAAAGGAAGUAUUUUUGAUCAUGCAGUUUUAUGUUUAAAGAACUCAUUCACAAACUAAUAAACACACAACUCAUUGAAAGGAAUUUACUUACUGAAACAAGGUAUUUUAUUUCAAGUACCGAUCAAGCAUUUUAUGUAAUUUUCUGUGGACCAGCACUAAACAACGUUUGUCACCAUUGAUUUGUAAAACCAAUCUGAUGUGAACAGUAUGUGACAGAAGUUGCUAUCAAGAGAUAGAAUCCUGUCGCAGAAAAGCUCAUCAUCCUGGUGAGAAAAAAAAAAUCACACAAUGUAAUUUUACUUGUAUCAUAGUUUUUUCAGCAUUGACUCUGUUUCUGACAGCUGGCUUCUUGUUAAAUGUGAGCAAAGCUUUGUUUAUGCAUGCAUGUCUUCCAUGGGUUAUGGACCCAAAGUUCAUUCUUUUGAAAGGAAAGUAGUUUGCUUUGGCAGAGCUGUUUUCAUCUAAUUAAAAAGCAGUACAAUAUUUCUAAUUCAAAGCAUUCUGAAGAAAUGUCUUGCUAUGUGAGAUAGUUUAUUAACCAUAAAUUUGAGGAAUCACUGUAGUUUAGCGAGUUCAAAGCAAAAUGUCAAUUGUAUUAUGUAUAUUUAUGAAAAUAGAAAUGUUGGGCUUGCUCUACUGCUUGGGUAUAACUGUGAUGAAUACUAUAUAGAGAGAUCAAGGAACCUUUACUUUUUGAAUUUGUGACAAAUGACUGCAUAUCAGGCUAUUAAAACCAUUAGGUAGAGUUUUUUGAGAAACAAGAGCAACCAGAGGUUAUAUGGUGCCUCAGGCUAUCGCUUCUCAACUUUUCUGAUUUCCACGAGGUAGCUAUUAAAGAACCAUAAUUUAUACAACUGGAUUCUCAAAUAAGACCCAGCAAGGUGGGCUUUAAAGGCUGAAUUAAUCACUCCGUUACUGUAGAUACAAAUCUCUUAUUUGAAUUUUUCAGCCUUAAGAAAGGCAUCAGCAUAAAUUCUUCUGUCUGUGUCUUUUCCUCUCAGUGUGCUUUUUAUCUGCUAUUCACUUUCUUUCCCACUCUCUCCAAAAUGGAGAAAUUAGCCAAACAAAAUACUACUAGUUAAACAGAGCUUCAUGAAUUUUGCUGGCUGUGUGCAUGUAUACCUGAUUUACUUGUGUGCUACAGUAUACUGUUUGCAAUGGAUGUUGUGUUUAGUUUACACACCAACAAGGAAGGCAAUAGAUGGAAAAAAUGCCUCUUUCCAUGUCUUGACUGCUGCUCCCUGGGCUGAGUUGGAGUCUUUGAAAGCAGCAGGUUGGUUGCUUCUUGGAAGGGAAAAUGGUCAGCAGGGUGCAGGUCCCAGACCACCCAGUGGACCAGGCAGAGAGGGCAACGUGCAGGAGUCUGCUGCGCCCUGCAGUAGAGAGAGGGAUGCUCCAGGGAAGUGCAGGAACACAGAGAAGCUUCAGCACUGAAGGGAAAGAUGUUUUCCUAAGAAACUGGAAGAGACCAGGUAAAGUUUUUGGCAAGUCAGUGAGAUAUGAAUUAGACAGCAAGGUGGGCGGAAAGUUUUCUUGUCCAGAAAGGAGAUGGUUGGUGCAGGGGAUAUAUCUUUUCAGUAGCUUUUCCAAAUCUGCUUAUGCCUAACAGAUUUUCAUUUCCUCCACCUAAAACAUCUGAGUUUGUGUUCUAAUGAAAACUAGUUUUAAGGUGUUGGGAACUCUCAGUAUCCUUAAGGAAGAGGAUCCAGUAGUUCCAUCUUUGGAUUGUGGAAGGUUUUUGUUUUAGCAGGCUGUAACAAUUAUUCUCUCCUUGAAUCUUGAAAGCAACAGUGAGUAAAACUGGGAAUUAAAGGAAGGAAUCUCAUUUUCAAAACAAAGCACUGUCUACAGAAAAGCCUGUGGAUUCUAGCAUGCCCUUUAUCUCAGAAUACACUAACUGAAUCUAUACUUGCUUCCAUACCUGUCUCAAAUUUACUUCCUUUGGAGUGAGGCAUCUCCAUUACUAAAUGUUGAACAGUAGUUUCAGAUAACGCAAUAAACAAAAGCUCAAGGUGGAUACGAUUUUGUCAUAAUUUCCAUAUGGGUCAUAAGACCCAAGUUCUGGUUAAACUGCCUAUCUCAGGCCUACCAGAGCACAACUGGGACUGUGUGGUGUCUCUGCCAUGAGAGCUGGAUAAUCCAAAGCACCAGCUGCGAGGGAAUUCAAGUAAUCUGGGACUCUGGGGGCCCUGGGUUUUUCUGCGUACCACUCCCACAGUAACAUGACAGGCUGCCUGGGCAGCAGUUGUCAUCUCUUGCGUAUGAACUAUUUCCAGAUCCCUGCUGUCAUACCUCAUCCCUCUGAGGUGCAUCGUGGUAUCUGGCAUGUUGGGCUAGUAAGAUCUGACAUCCAGAGUUGCUGGUCCCACACUGGACCUAACAUAUGAGAAUGGAGGAAUGGGAGGGCAUUUGUAGAAAUGAAAGCGAGAAUGUUAUCCAAAAUCUGGUAUGUGUAAACAGAUUGCUUUGCAGCUAAAAUUUUCUGCUUAUUUCUGAUUUAACCUGAUUUUUGGUUACUAGUGAGUAAUUACUUUAUUUCAUCAUUUGAGCUAGAGAAAGGAUUUAGCAUAGUUGACAUAAUUUAAUUUGAUGGCAUGGGCCAUAAACAGUGAAAAGAGGCCAUGGUGUGGGUUUGUUACUUUUCAUGAAAAUACCCAAAGGGUGAAAGCUGCUGAUUUCUUUUUUUUUGUCAAUGUGCUGUUAAUGAUCAGCACAGAGAAUGCAAAAAUGUCUUGGUAGAACAUUUUUAAAGGAGUUAUAAGAGAAGCAUCUGGGAGCCAGACUUUCCUUGUGGAAACAUGCCAACAACUGUAUUGUGUUUCCUUUCGCUAAAGUGAGCUAUGCUGAAAUGCCUUGUCUUCUGUCCUUUUUUUGAGGAAGUUCGUUUCUGGAUUCAGACUAUAAACUUGAAAUCUUUAACCCUGCAGGUUAUUAAAGGAUAUUAUAUGGUUUAAACAAGAUGCUUUCUUUAUGAAUUCUAUGUAUGUAAAUAUUAUGUCAAGUCACAUUUGUCACAAUUGGGGAUAUGUAGUUUUCAGAAAUGGCUUUUAAAUUUAAAUCUUGCUGCUGAUCAACGAGUAUGGGAAAUUUUACUUGACAUUUACAGACUUUUUUUCUGUGUAUGUUAUAUAUUUAAGCCUGAGAAAUAUAACCCCUGUACAAGGUUGUCAAAUAACACUGUAGUACAGUUAUAUAGUAUAGAUUAGUUAAUUGCAUAUUUGAUUGCUAGAUGUAUUUACAUAGAGAACUAUUUAUAUUUUCUAUGUAGAUUUUAAUAGCCACCACAUUUAUUUUAGCAAAACAUUUUCAUAAUAAGGUUUAUAAAAUGUCAUGUUGAACACUUAAACUAUUUACAUAACCAAGAGCUAUUACGGGGUUGAGGGAACAAACAAAUUUAUUUUAGUUACAGUGAAUUCACAUAAAUCUUUAUUAUGUUUAUAUAUAAGAAUGUACUUAUGUGCAUACCACAUGUAUUUAGGCAAGCAAUCUCGAGUGAAAAUUCCUGUGAACCUACAAUCCAACCGUGGAAUCAACUUCAAAAUCCUUGUAUGUUUUGUCUCUUUGAGCUACUAAUUUGCAUUCUGUCCAGUCAUUGCAACUUCUUUUUUAAGAGGGUGAGAGGGCAGAGGAGAGAGCUUAAUUUGGUUAAUCAUCUAAAUAAUUAUAUGAGCAUGUAGAAACAUUAAACCCCAGAAACUUUCCUUUACGUUGUUGAGGCCUGUUAAGAGCAGUAUUUUAAAAUAUUUGAUCCCUUCUUUAAAUGUUUAAGUAUGGACUCAGGUAAGAUACCUAUUGCCUCAAUUUUUGUAUGCCAAAUUUGAGGCUUUAGGAACAUUUUCAUAAGUGGAGCCAAAGCUGUACUUUCGUUGGAAGCUAACAUUAAACUUUACCUUCAGAGAUUCUUCUGUUCAGUUGUGAAAGUUGUUAUCUAAUCUCUUGGUCAAAAAAUAUAGGUAACAUUUUAAAAAGUUCUUAAUAAAACUUAAGGAAUUUGUAAGGAGCUGGUUUCUGAAGUCACUUAGGAAAUUUUCACCUUGUUUGAUGGCCCAUCAAAUAGUUUUUUGUUUACAGAGUUUAAUAUAUUCUGACCAGUUCACUGAGCAUUUAGGAUUAGACAGUUCUAAAGGGACUUGGUUUCUGAAAACAAAUCCCUGAGAUGAUGACUUUAAUUGUAAAUACAAAGUGUCUAUGAAUAUAAAAACAAGAAAAGAAUGAAUGAGUUUCCAGUAAUUUCUUUUAUUCUUAAUUAUAAGUAUUGUGUGCAUAUCCACGAUUGAACUUGCUCGUGAUGACCUUUAUCUUUUCUCUCUUGAGAAGAAUUACUAUUAUCAGGUCUUUCUUCACAAGGAAAGAAAAAGGUCAGUGCAAAACCCAUCCCUUAUUUCUAUGCAGUGCACAUUGCAUUUUUGGCAUAUUUGUAUUGAAUUUUAUUAAUAGUAAUUAGAUCAUUUUGUCGAAGAAGUUUUAGUAUUCCAAAAUUCGUGCUAUGUACUCCUGCUUUUCCUGCCUUUUUCUGCCUCCUCUCCUCCCAGGCUUGGUAUUGGUGUAACUAAGAUUUUACAUACUUCUGUUCUUCCUCACUCUGUCAAACUAGCUAAUUUUUUUUCCUUCCUUAACCUUAAAUUGACAAACUGCUGGUUCUUCUGUGUCUUUGUUUGUCUAAGAAAAAAAAAAAAAAAAAAAGAGAAUGUAGAGAAUGCAAAGUUGUUGCUUUUUUUUAAAAUUAGAGCUUUUAAAUUAUUUAUUGUUUGGAAGACUAGUGCUAGGAACUGAACAACCAAGUUGAUUCAGCUGUCAUUCAAAAUAUGACUGAGGAUUUCUUUCUGUUUUGGAAGGAGAGCUCCAAGUAGGCACUCCAAGCAGGAAGCUGAGUUCAUGAAAUCCUAAUAUGUUCAUAACUAAAACCAGGAAUUGUCUGUACCUCUAUGGAUUGUGCAGUUGUCCUAAUGAAUAUAUUCUGUUCUGUUGUUCAGGUGACUGAACAUGUUUUUCCUCCCAUUGUGAUACUUUGGUCUGAAAGCCUGAAGGGCCUUGUGAAGCCCUGGCAAGAGCAACUUUUCAUAUUAACAACCUCUGUGUUUGGUCAACGAACAAAAAUUGUGGGGUGUGAAGAGGAUAUAGCCUGUAUACAAAUUGCAAAUUGGUUGUGAUUAUAGAAUGGGGCAUGGGUGGGGAAGCAAGGAUACUGGGAUGCUUGGUAUGUGUGAAAGGGAAGGAAAUAAAGAGGAAAGGUGCUGAAAUAUAUACAGGUCUCAACAAGUAGGGAACAUAAGUAAAGCAAAGCAUGCUCUUAUGUUUCCUGAAGACAUGGUAAAACUAUGCACCUGAGAGUGAGAAGAUUCACUUUGCAAAAGUGUGGGCGACCGUGCCAACAGUGAUCAAUUUUCUGGUUUGUAUGAGAGUAACUGUUUUUCCUCCAAGGACGGAGAUCUGUUCUUUGAUUGCUUAGUCUUCAUGCUUUCUGCCCUAAAACAUUAUAAAAAAUACUUUCUGCUAGAAAAAUAUUGUGUUGUUUUCUUCCCCCUCCCAGUAAACUAGUGAUAAGUCUUACAGUAUCUACCUGCUUUUAAAAACACUCUUUUAAAAUCUAUUGCACUUGUAUAGUUCAUGUAGUUGGAUUUGUGUGCAAUAAUACAGGAGAAAUGCACUGUCUUUUUCACAGAUGUAUUUAGAAAGAGAUUGUUUUUCCCUCAAACAGUUCUCCAAACUUACUCAAUUCUCUCUACUUCUUCACUGUUAUUAUUCUUCAUAGCAAUAGUUAUAUGAUCCAAACAACAUUCUUCUUCACCAGACUAAAGAACUGCAGCCUUGAAGUGUGUUUUGUAUUUGCCUCUAGCGGGACUGGGGUUUUUUUGGUUUACUUUACUCUUUAGUUUAGCAAAUGCUGUAACUCCAAAAUGCUUUCUUUAGGAAGAGAAUUAAUGUUAUAUCUGCUUUUUCAUUUUGAUUAAACAAACCAAAACAUAUACUUAGAUUCACUGUGUGGUGUCACAGGAAGGUUGUUUUAAAAGAUAAUCAGAAAAUGGCUAAGUGACAUUCCAGGUCUUCAAUAUCACUUCCUCUCCUUCUCACCUCCUUUUCCUGCAGCACUGAUCUUGAGUUAAUUUAUAACAAAAUCUGCUAAUCUUCUCUGUGAGGAUGAUGAGGUAACUUUUCCAAGGUCUUCUCAAUAGGAAGCGGGGCUUUCCUUUUAGCCAAGAUGGCUGGUUUGGUUAUUCAGACUGCUUACACAACUGGCAGUAUCGGUGGGGCACAGUAGCACCUUUUCAAGAGACAAUAAGUGCAACUGAGGAAAAAGAAAAAGUGGAAUCUCAAGGAAUUCAGGAAACCUCUCAUCUGGAUACUUGGCAAGAUCUGGACAAAACGGAGUCAGUUGAGCUAAUCCUGAUCUAUAAGUCAUUAGCUGCAGCUGUCUCAUAUGCGAACUAUUAAAAUGCAUGGACCCUUAUAAACUGCUGCUGAAUAGCCUAGUGUGGAGUACCAAAAGAAGUCAAAUGCUGUUUCCUAGAAACUUGAUCUAACUUUCAGAGUUAGAGCAGGGUGUUAGACUAAGUAAUUUCCACUGGUCCCUUCUAUUCCAAAGUAUUUCAUGAUUCUAGCUUUUUCACUUUGUACUGCCAGUGCUAUUUAUUUGAGGCCAUUGGGAGGUCAGUACAUUGUCAAUAGUAAUAACAGAAUUCUGUUACUGUCUACUGGUCGGACAGGGUGGUGCAUAUACUCAGCUAUUCUCUAGAAUUUAAAUAAUGGUUGUUUUCAAAGAGCUGACUAAAACUUGUGCAAAAAGUGUUAGUUUAGCUGCUAGUAUUACUAUAUUUGAAUGAAACCUCUUGCCUCCAUCUGGGAAUCAGGCUUGGAUCACGUGUGUUGGAAGGAAUUGGGGUUAGGAAUAGGCACAGGUUGUCCUCAACUAAAAGUAAUGCAUCUCAGUGGGUGCAAUAUUUUUCCUUAAAAUGUGUUUUUAUAUGAUUCAUAACCUGGAGAUCUCUUUCGGUAUUCUGUUAGAACACAAUUCUGUAUUAUCUGUUUCCCAUUGUAUUUCUGAGCAUGGUGGUGACCAUUUAUUCAGAUGCAACUUCUGCAUCAUAUUUUGCUGUCACCUCAUCAGUGUUUAGCCUCCAUCUGGGUGACCUGUUUCUGUCUUCGUCUUCUCUGCUUGUGUUCUGGAAAUAGUUUUUCACUAAAGCUUUUCAUGCAGAAAUACAACUGAGCUGUUGGGUGGUAACUAGGUGACCCACAGAAGUAGGAAUAAAAUAAGAAUUGUCCUCUAUUCUGUCAUGGUGAGAAAUUCUUACAUUUAUAGUCUUUUCUCUAAAUAGCAACCAGAUUGUUUCCCACUUCUUCCACUGUCCUGGAGGCAUUUUCAUCCUCAAGCCACACACCCCCAUACAGUCAGAUGAAGCUUUAAUAAAAUGAUAGUCUGUCUCCCCCUCUCUGCUGCCUCCCAGACCUCACAGCAUGGCUAGAGAUGAGCACUUUGAGCAGCCUUUUCCAAGCUGUUUCAUUUGUUCACAGAGUGCACCCAGAGUGCUACUGGGAAUGCAGGGUGAAAUGUCAAGAAGUUGUAUGUAAAUCUUCCAUGAAUCUGUCAUGCCCAGGAGGAACUGGGGGAAAGGGACAGAUGUGUGGGAAUAUUGGAGGAUUAUCAAACAAAGCUGGGGUUUUGCUGCUUGGAUUUGGAGAUUGGGUGGUUCUGGAGUCUCAAAGACGACACCAGAAAGGAAAAUCCCUGCCAUUAUAAAUACGCAUGCCAAGGCAAAUAAGCCCUAGGAUCAAGCAACACAUGGAGGAUUUCUGGGAUAUCAAGCUGCUUGGGCUAAAACACCAUAAGAGUUUGGGUGAAGCGUGUAGGCAUGUACAGGUGUGUAAAGAGCAAGAAUACUGCAGAGGAUCCCCUCCCCAAAGCUGGGGAACGCUGUCCUCAGGGUGUUAAAUCUUACUUCUUUGACCACAGAUGGUCUCCAGCCCUCACUACUAACUCUAGCAGAAGGUGUCAGUUUGGCCAAAUUAUAAAACUGAUCUUGUUCUAAAAUUUUUCAUGUUUAUUGCUGCUUCUUUCUUAAAUGCUUCUCUAAACAAAUAAUCUUGUUUGUAAAAAAAAAAAAAAAAACAGUUCUUGCUAAGUUUUUAAAAAAUUACAUAGCUGGAUUGAUUUAUGUUCCUUAUUAGAGCAAUAACCCAUCUGUUAUGGGGUUAAGCCAAUUCAUAAAAAUAUAAAUCUGAGAGAGAAAAGGUCUUGACUCUUCCCCAUGGUAAGCAUUUAUUCAUGUUUGAAAGUUCUUGUUUACAUUUAUGCAGAGAUGUUAUUUGGUAGCAAAAGACCAGUGUGGAGGACUAAAACUCUUGGUGUUACCAUGCCAUUGUAUGCUUUUCUUGCACGAAGCACUUUUAGACCCGUGAUGUUCAGUGUCAGCGGAGUUCUUCAUGUACACACCUUUUCAUUUGCAUGUGUCUGUCAUCACUGCUGAGUACAAUAGUAAAGACAGUGUGAUUUUUUU